rnacentral:rRNA from 1 species
UCUGUAACUGACGCUGAGGAGCGAAAGCGUGGGGAGCGAACAGGAUUAGAUACCCUGGUAGUCCACGCCGUAAACGAUGAGUGCUAAGUGUUAGGGGGUUUCCGCCCCUUAGUGCUGCAGCUAACGCAUUAAGCACUCCGCCUGGGGAGUACGGUCGCAAGACUGAAACUCAAAGGAAUUGACGGGGGCCCGCACAAGCGGUGGAGCAUGUGGUUUAAUUCGAAGCAACGCGAAGAACCUUACCAGGUCUUGACAUCCUCUGACAAUCCUAGAGAUAGGACGUCCCCUUCGGGGGCAGAGUGACAGGUGGUGCAUGGUUGUCGUCAGCUCGUGUCGUGAGAUGUUGGGUUAAGUCCCGCAACGAGCGCAACCCUUGAUCUUAGUUGCCAGCAUUCAGUUGGGCACUCUAAGGUGACUGCCGGUGACAAACCGGAGGAAGGUGGGGAUGACGUCAAAUCAUCAUGCCCCUUAUGACCUGGGCUACACACGUGCUACAAUGGGCAGAACAAAGGGCAGCGAAACCGCGAGGUUAAGCCAAUCCCACAAAUCUGUUCUCAGUUCGGAUCGCAGUCUGCAACUCGACUGCGUGAAGCUGGAAUCGCUAGUAAUC